rnacentral:rRNA from 1 species
UUAAGCGACUAAGCGUACACGGUGGAUGCCCUGGCAGUCAGAGGCGAUGAAGGACGUGCUAAUCUGCGAAAAGCGUCGGUAAGGUGAUAUGAACCGUUAUAACCGGCGAUGUCCGAAUGGGGAAACCCAGUGCAAUUCGUUGCACUAUCGUUAACUGAAUACAUAGGUUAACGAGGCGAACCGGGGGAACUGAAACAUCUAAGUACCCCGAGGAAAAGAAAUCAACCGAGAUUCCCCCAGUAGCGGCGAGCGAACGGGGAGCAGCCCAGAGUCUGAAUCAGCUUGUGUGUUAGUGGAACGGUCUGGAAAGUCCGACGGUACAGGGUGAUAGUCCCGUACACCAAAAUGCACAGGCUGUGAACUCGAAGAGUAGGGCGGGACACGUGGUAUCCUGUCUGAAUAUGGGGGGACCAUCCUCCAAGGCUAAAUACUCCUGACUGACCGAUAGUGAACCAGUACCGUGAGGGAAAGGCGAAAAGAACCCCGGCGAGGGGAGUGAAAAAGAACCUGAAACCGUGUACGUACAAGCAGUGGGAGCACCUUCGGGUGUGACUGCGUACCUUUUGUAUAAUGGGUCAGCGACUUAUAUUCUGUAGCAAGGUUAACCGUAUAGGGGAGCCGCAGGGAAACCGAGUCUUAACUGGGCGUUAAGUUGCAGGGUAUAGACCCGAAACCCGGUGAUCUAGCCAUGGGCAGGUUGAAGGUUGGGUAACACUAACUGGAGGACCGAACCGACUAAUGUUGAAAAAUUAGCGGAUGACUUGUGGCUGGGGGUGAAAGGCCAAUCAAACCGGGAGAUAGCUGGUUCUCCCCGAAAGCUAUUUAGGUAGCGCCUCGUGAACUCAUCUUCGGGGGUAGAGCACUGUUUCGGCUAGGGGGUCAUCCCGACUUACCAACCCGAUGCAAACUACGAAUACCGAAGAAUGUUAUCACGGGAGACACACGGCGGGUGCUAACGUCCGUCGUGAAGAGGGAAACAACCCAGACCGCCAGCUAAGGUCCCAAAGUCAUGGUUAAGUGGGAAACGAUGUGGGAAGGCACAGACAGCCAGGAUGUUGGCUUAGAAGCAGCCAUCAUUUAAAGAAAGCGUAAUAGCUCACUGGUCGAGUCGGCCUGCGCGGAAGAUGUAACGGGGCUAAACCAUGCACCGAAGCUGCGGCAGCGACACUAUGUGUUGUUGGGUAGGGGAGCGUUCUGUAAGCCUGCGAAGGUGUGCUGUGAGGCAUGCUGGAGGUAUCAGAAGUGCGAAUGCUGACAUAAGUAACGAUAAAGCGGGUGAAAAGCCCGCUCGCCGGAAGACCAAGGGUUCCUGUCCAACGUUAAUCGGGGCAGGGUGAGUCGACCCCUAAGGCGAGGCCGAAAGGCGUAGUCGAUGGGAAACAGGUUAAUAUUCCUGUACUUGGUGUUACUGCGAAGGGGGGACGGAGAAGGCUAUGUUAGCCGGGCGACGGUUGUCCCGGUUUAAGCAUGUAGGCUGAUUGUCCAGGCAAAUCCGGAUAAUCAAGGCUGAGGUGUGAUGACGAGGCACUACGGUGCUGAAGUAACAAAUGCCCUGCUUCCAGGAAAAGCCUCUAAGCAUCAGGUAACAUCAAAUCGUACCCCAAACCGACACAGGUGGUCAGGUAGAGAAUACCAAGGCGCUUGAGAGAACUCGGGUGAAGGAACUAGGCAAAAUGGUGCCGUAACUUCGGGAGAAGGCACGCUGGUGUGUAGGUGAAGUCCCUGCGGAUGGAGCUGAGACCAGUCGAAGAUACCAGCUGGCUGCAACUGUUUAUUAAAAACACAGCACUGUGCAAACACGAAAGUGGACGUAUACGGUGUGACGCCUGCCCGGUGCCGGAAGGUUAAUUGAUGGGGUUAUCCGUAAGGAGAAGCUCUUGAUCGAAGCCCCGGUAAACGGCGGCCGUAACUAUAACGGUCCUAAGGUAGCGAAAUUCCUUGUCGGGUAAGUUCCGACCUGCACGAAUGGCGUAAUGAUGGCCAGGCUGUCUCCACCCGAGACUCAGUGAAAUUGAACUCGCUGUGAAGAUGCAGUGUACCCGCGGCAAGACGGAAAGACCCCGUGAACCUUUACUAUAGCUUGACACUGAACAUUGAGCCUUGAUGUGUAGGAUAGGUGGGAGGCUUUGAAGCGUGGACGCCAGUCUGCGUGGAGCCAACCUUGAAAUACCACCCUUUAAUGUUUGAUGUUCUAACGUUGGCCCCU